rnacentral:rRNA from 1 species
UACGAAGGGUGCAAGCGUUACUCGGAAUUACUGGGCGUAAAGGGUGCGUAGGUGGUUUUUUAAGUCCGUUGUGAAAUCCCUGGGCUCAACCUGGGAAUGGCAGUGGAUACUGGAAAGCUAGAGUGCGGUAGAGGAUAGUGGAAUUCCCAGUGUAGUGGUGAAAUACGUAGAGAUUGGGAAGAACACCAGUGGCGAAGGCGGCUAUCUGGACGGUUUCUGACACUAAGACUCGAAAGCGUGGGGAGCAAACAGG